UGGGGAAUAUUGCACAAUGGGGGAAACCCUGAUGCAGCGACGCCGCGUGAGUGAAGAAGUAUUUCGGUAUGUAAAGCUCUAUCAGCAGGGAAGAAAAUGGCGGUACCUGACCAAGAAGUCCCGGCUAACUACGUGCCAGCAGCCGCGGUAAUACGUAGGGGGCAAGCGUUAUCCGGAUUUACUGGGUGUAAAGGGAGCGUAGACGGCUGAGCAAGUCAGAAGUGAAAGCCCGGGGCUCAACCCCGGGACUGCUUUUGAAACUGCGGAGCUGGAGUGCAGGAGAGGUAAGCGGAAUUCCUGGUGUAGCGGUGAAAUGCGUAGAUAUCAGGAGGAACACCAGUGGCGAAGGCGGCUUACUGGACUGUAACUGACGUUGAGGCUCGAAAGCGUGGGGAGCAAACAGG
rnacentral:rRNA from 1 species